rnacentral:rRNA from 1 species
UGGUCAAGUUAUUAAGGGUGCAGGGCGGAUGCCUUGGCACUAGGAGCCGAUGAAGGACGUGAUAAGCUGCGAUAAGCUUCGGGGAGUUGCACGUAAACUUUGAUCCGAAGAUUUCCGAAUGAGGAAACUCACUUAGAGUAAUGUCUAAGUAUCAUUAAGUGAAUACAUAGCUUAAUGAGGGGAACUCAUGGAACUGAAACAUCAAAGUACCAGAAGGAAGAGAAAGAAAUUCGAUUCCGUAAGUAGCGGCGAGCGAACGCGGAUUAGCCCAAACCAAUAAAGUUUUCUUUAUUGGGGUUGCGGACAUAUCAUAACGAAGAGGUAUCGUAAUUGAAGAGGUUUGGAAAGACCCACCACAGAAGGUAAUAGUCCUGUAUGUUAAACGAGAAGACUUUAGAUAUGAUCCAGAGUACCACGGGACACGUGAAACCCUGUGGGAAGCAGGAGGGACCACCCUCCAAGGCUAAAUACUACCUAGUGACCGAUAGCGUAUAGUACCGUGAGGGAAAGGUGAAAAGAACCCCGGGAGGGGAGUGAAAUAGAACCUGAAACCCUGCACUUACAAGCUGUGGAAGCACAUUUCUUGUGUGACCGCGUACUUUUUGUAGAACGGGCCAACGAGUUACGUUAAGUAGCAAGGUUAAGCACUUAAGGUGCGGAGCCGUAGCGAAAGCGAGUUUUAACUGAGCGUUCAGUUACUUGACGUAGACCCGAAACCGGGCGACCUACCCAUGAGCAGGAUGAAGCGAAAGUAAAAUUUCGGGGAGGUCCGAACCCACGAGCGUUGAAAAGCUCGGGGAUGACUUGUGGGUAGCGGUGAAAUUCCAAUCGAGCCCGGAGAUAGCUGGUUCUCCCCGAAAUAGCUUUAGGGCUAGCCUCAAGGUGAGAGAUACGGAGGUAGAGCACUGAAUGUCCUAGGGGGUAUUGCACCUACCGAAGACUAUCAAACUCCGAAUGCCGUCAUCUUAUACUUGGGAGUCAGACUGUGGGUGAUAAGAUUCAUAGUCGAAAGGGCAACAGCCCAGAUCGUCAGCUAAGGUCCCUAAAUGUAAGUUAAGUGGUAAAGGAUGUGGGAUUGCACAGACAACCAGGAUGUUGGCUUAGAAGCAGCCACUCAUUCAAAGAGUGCGUAAUAGCUCACUGGUCGAGUGAUCCUGCGCCGAAGAUUUCCGGGGCUAAAACUUACUACCGAAGCUACGGCAUCAGUAAUGAUGGGUAGGGG